rnacentral:rRNA from 1 species
AUUGAACGCUGGCGGCAGGCCUAACACAUGCAAGUCGAGCGGUAACACAGAGGAGCUUGCUCCUUGGGUGACGAGCGGCGGACGGGUGAGUAAUGCCUGGGGAUCUGCCCGAUAGAGGGGGAUAACUACGGGAAACUGUAGCUAAUACCGCAUAAUGUCUACGGACCAAAGUGGGGGCUCUUCGGACCUCAUGCUAUCGGAUGAACCCAGGUGGGAUUAGAUAGUUGGUGAGGUAACGGCUCACCAAGUCAGCGAUGGAUAGGGGUUCUGAGAGGAAGGUCCCCCACACUGGUACUGAGACACGGACCAGACUCCUACGGGAGGCAGCAGUGAGGAAUAUUGGUCAAUGGGCGAGAGCCUGAACCAGCCAAGUCGCGUGAAGGAUGAAGGUCUUAUGGAUUGUAAACUUCUUUUAUAAGGGAAUAAAAAAGAUCACGUGUGGUCUAUUGCAUGUACCUUAUGAAUAAGCAUCGGCUAACUCCGUGCCAGCAGCCGCGGUAAUACGGAGGAUGCGAGCGUUAUCCGGAUUUAUUGG